rnacentral:tRNA from 1 species
GAGGCUGACAAUGCUAACCUGCUAACUUAGCACACCAACACUAAAAUGCUGGCACCCUU